GCCGCCCACAUGAGACGCCUUCGAGCGGAACGCUCUGAGUACCGGGCUCGGGAAGCGCGAGCUAAGCGCGAACGUCGGCUGAACGACCCCGGUCUGCGAGUCGUGGAGAGUUACCUGCGUCAGGUCAGGAGGUGUGAAGCGAACGGUCGGCGCAAAUCGCCGAGCAGUGACAGUGGCCACGGCUGCCACGUUUGCGGCCGAUUGGGGUCCGACGCCAACCUGUCGACCUUGAGCUCUGCACUCGACCGCGGCAAGCGUCGAAAUGCCGCGCAACUUCCGCGUGAAUCCUUUCCAGCCCUUCUCGUGGGCCUCACUGGAACGAACUUCUGCGAGACUUGCCGCGAAUCGCUACUCCAAGAUGCAGACAGAAGUGACGACAACAAUAGAACUUGUGCACAAGAGCAUGAAGUGAGGAGGUCAUUUGUGGGAUGGACACAUUUAACACGGAUUUGCCAUCUGAAUCCUGUUCUGCAUCAAUGAACAGCGAGAUUGCGCUUUUGGUGCCAAAGCGCGAGCCUGAAGAAAUCGAUUGCGCGGUUGAUUGCUUGGACGGCCAUCUCCCGACCCGUGCUGAUGCAAGUGACGGUAAUGUAGGACCCUGCUUUACCAAGAGGAAAAUGGAGGAGCUUGGUUAUUAAAACCGAAGGCUCUAAUGGCCCUUCCCCGCUUGACCU